UUAGGCAGUAUAUGGUAAAAAUUAAGUAUUAAUAGCCGGUAAUAUUAUCCUUUCUUUGAAAUUUAAAGUGAAAAUACAUUUUGUAUGUUAUCAAAUUUAGUUACGAAAAUUGCAGAAAAGGAUUGCAGUUCUCCAAAUAUUAAUUCAAAUAGUGUACACUCUACACUAUUGUCUUUUUUCAAAUAAGUUUAUAAAAUGGAACAAGUGGAAAUACCAGAUCAAGAGCCAUCUCAGGAAAAGCGUAAGCGAAUGUCGUCUGCUUUAGAAAUUGAUUGCCCAGGCGAUUUGAGAGAAUGUCUUCGAAAUGCUUCUAAUGAUGGUUAUCAUUUUAUAAUUAUAAAUGCUGUACAUCCUAGAUAUUCUCGUGAUUUGCUCUCCAAAAAUGCUCCCCAUGUUAUUAGCAGAACUGAUAGAAUUUUAACUGGAACAGAUUGGAAUAGACUUAUUGUAGGAAAAUUAACCAGUAUUAAUGUUGAUAGUGAAACAAAUCAUGUUAGAAAUUACAGUAAAGCAAUUUUGAAUCAAGAGCUUGGUUUUGCUAGUCACUUGGGCUUACCAGCAGUUAUAAUAAGAUUACAUCAGAGAAAUAAUACAAAUUUAGCUGGCAUUUUAAUGGAAAAAUUGGCUGGUUCCAAUGUCAAUUUCCAGGUGUGGAUUCAGUUACCAAUGAUUCAUCCUACUUGUUUUUCACCUAUAUGUUCAAAAAGUGAAGAAGAAGACGUAUGGGAAUGGUGGAAUGAUUUAAGAACUUUAUGUCAUUAUGAUAAACGUUUAGGUUUAAUGUUGGAACUGCCUGAUUCACAACAUAUUCCAUCAGAAUUGGAAAUUAAACGUUGGAUGGGAGAACCAGUUAAAGUUUUACAAAUAAAAACUUCUUUAUUUUUAACUAAUCAUUACAAUCAACCAGUUUUAUCAAGGAAUCAUCAGGAGAUCAUUAGUAAAAUGUUGAAUUUAGAUGUACAGUAUGUGAUAAAGGGGCCCAAACUACAUGGUAAAACG